AGACUAUUCUGGAAUUUAAUGCAUUAAUAUCAACUGCAACUUUCCAAGAAUAGAAUAUAGCCUGAAGAAUUUAUCAAAUUUAUCCAACCGUGAGUUCCGUUUCAUGAGGAGCACCCAUUAACAUGUCUCAUGUGCAUUUGAUAGGAAAAACUCAGCAAUUCCUUUGAAAGUUACAUGAGAAUAUCCACAAAGAUGUGAGGAUCAAGAAAUACCCAAAGGUUGAGUUGAGUAAUAGGAAAAUCCCUGAACACAGAGCAAAAGAAGGUGCUUCUAAGUCUAACAUUGUCCUGGAG
rnacentral:lncRNA from 10 species